GUGAUUCUUGGGUGCACUUCGAAUCGGGAAUUGAGUGGGGGUUUCCCCACUAGGUUCUUUCAUUUGGAGGUCCCACCAAGAUCUGCGUGACACCCAGGAGCCCCGAAAGACCACUUGGAGGGCAACCCACCCUAAGCUGCUAACCAGCGAGAGAGACAUCUGCCCACUUAAAACUUCUGUCCCAGAAAAAACUGGUACUCAAAAUGAUCUGAAGGAUCAGAUCAGCCUUGGCCUGAGAGUUCAAGCUGGUACACGAAUGGCAGUAUCCUGGCGGUUAAAGGACUGAGACAGCCAAUGUGAUAGCCAAGAAGAUCCUAAAAGAAAUCUUCCAGAGGUAAUGGACCUGCCUUUGUUGCCCAGGUGGUGCAGAAAGAAGACUGGUCACAAUUGGCUACAGCGAACGAUCCGGGUACCACAAAAGACAUCUCACCAGUUGCAGCCGGAGAUCUGAUCCACGUACACCUACAUCAUUCCCAGACCCUCAAGCCUCAGGAGAAGGGUCCCUGCCUAGUUCUGUUUACUAUCCCUUUUUAUUCUGUUGAUUUCUGUUCUCCUCAUAGAGAUAUAGACUUCUAAAAUUCUAAGAUUAGAAUUACUUAGUAGAAGAAGAGGGGAAUGAAAGGAAAUAAAA